rnacentral:rRNA from 1 species
AUGAAUAUCAAUCAAAUCAAGAAACUCGGAAAGAUUGUUGGGAUAAAGAAAUUAGCGACAAAAAACAACAAGAUCUUUGUCUGCACAAUGAAGAAGACAUCAGUUCACUACAAGAUGGUACUAACUAUUAUACCUUGUCUUUUUUUAUUCCUUUGCCCCAUUUCCAAUAUAGAGAAGAUAUUUAUGCACAUCCUUGUUUUUAGGCCUUUCCAAAGCUGUUCACUGAUGAUUACCUCUCAAACCACCUAUAUGGUCAGGAGGCGAGGAAGGUUUUCAUACAACACCCACGGUUCAAUAUUGAAGUGUUCCUGA